rnacentral:lncRNA from 10 species
GACCGACACUGUCAGCUCCUAACGCCGCAGGUUCCUCCUGGUCCCCGAGGCCCCCGGUCGGGCGUUGCCUGCCCCGCGCGGGCGGCCGGGCCGAGGGACGAUGGUCAGUGGACGGACGGCGCCAGGGAGCAGUGCCCACGCGCGGCAGGGCGGUACCUUCAGGCCUCCAGGUACGGGCGCUCCUCGCCCGGACGCUGCUGUGUGUGAAUGGGCGCGAGGGGACUCCCCUGCGGGGCGGACGCCUGAACACGAGGCUGUGGAGGAGGACGCUGUAGGGUGCGCGGACUCACGCGGAACAUGCCAGAGGCUCAGCCAGCCACGGCGCUCCCAGCGUGGAGGGCGAGGGGCAUCCGGGAGCGGCCGGGAGGGCUCGGUCACCCCUCAAGCUGUCACCCCAGUCCCACAACCAGCACCCCGAUCCUAUCGCAGUCCCACAGCCGACACCCCGAUCCCACCCCUGCCCAACAGCCGGCACCCACCCCAAUCCCAUAGCUAACACCCCGGUCCCACCGCUGUCCCACGGCCGGCACCCCGAUCCCACCCCAGUCCCGCAGCUGGCACCCCGAUCCCACCCCAGCCCAACAGCUGGCACCCACCCCGAUCCCACCGCUGUCCCACAGCCGGCACCCCGAUCCCACCCCAGUCCCGCAGCCGGCACCCCGAUCCCACAGCCGGCACUCACCCCGAUCGCAUAGCAUAGCUGAUACCCCGAUCCCACCCCAGUCCCAUAGCCAGCACCCCGAUCCCACCCCAGUCCCAUAGCCAGCACCUCGAUCCCAUAGAUGACACCCCGAUCCCGCCCCAGUCCUAUAGCCCGCACCCCGAUCCCACCCGAGUCCCGCAGCCGGCACCCCAUCCCACCCAUGUCCCACAGUCGGCACCCCGAUCCCACUCGGAUCCGGCAGCCAGCUUGGAUCCUGUGGCCCUCCUCCAGCCCCCAGGGCUCAUUUAUAUGUUUUAUUGGCAGAGGCUGGGGCUGGCUCUGUUGGCCUCUGUGCUGGGUUUCUUCCUCUGCACCGCAGGACUGGCUCUCCUGACCUCUCCAGGUGUCAUCGAACACCCUUGUGCUUGCUGUCACCCGCUGCCUGUCUGCAGGAUCCCGGAUUCCGUAUCAGGGGACCGAAAUUAGUCGGAAAAUAGGAAGCAGGUGCUCGCUUGGAUGGAACCCUGACCCUGUGCUCACACUUGUAGGAGGAGGGCUCUGCAGGCCGCCUCCCGGAACGGGAGGUUCCCAAGCCACUGCACUUCGGAGGGGCUGUAAUUAGAGUUGCACAUUCAUUCAGUUCCCAGUAAAGUAGAACGUGCUCCAGCCAGUGAGGAAAAGGUGUUUUUAAAAAUUAGAUUGGCCGAGUGCGGUGGCUCAUGCCUUUUACCUCAACACUUUGGGAGACAAAGGUGGGAGGAUCACCUGUGGCCAGGAGUUCAAGACCAGCCUGGGCAACAGAGCCUGUCUCUGGGGAAGAAUAAAAAAAAAAAUUGAGCCUU